CCUACGGGUGGCUGCAGUAGGGAAUAUUGCUCAAUGGGGGAAACCCUGAAGCAGCAACGCCGCGUGGAGGAUGAAGGUUUUAGGAUUGUAAACUCCUUUUGUUAGAGAAGAGAAUGACGGUAUCUCACGAAUAAGCACCGGCUAACGCCGUGCCAGCAGCCGCGGUAAUACGGAGGGUGCAAGCGUUACUCGGAAGCACUGGGCGUAAAGGGUGCGUAGGCGGGUUUGUAAGUCAGAUGUGAAAUCCUUUGGCUUAACUGCAGAACUGCAUUUGAAACUAUGAGUCUAGAGUGUGGGAGAGGUAGGUGGAAUUCUUGGUGUAGAGGUGAAAUCCGUAGAUAUCACGAGGAAUACUCAUUGCGAAGGCGACCUACUGGAACAUUACUGACGCUCAUGCACGAAAGCGUGGGGAGCAAACAGGAUUAGAUACCCCAGUAGUC
rnacentral:rRNA from 1 species